AUGCAGUAGAUUAGAUCCUAAUCCGAUCUUUCUUCGAAAUUGAUAAUAUCGAUCAUGGUUAAUUCAUAUUAAGUCAUCCUGAUAUAACCUCUGAUGAUCUCAAUCAUGAUUGCCAUUUUUGAAGGAUAUGAAGAUUCUCUCUCCACUCUCUCUCUACUUUCUCUCUCUACUUUCUCUCAUGAUCCGAUAAGGAAGCGCAAGUUCUACUUACUGGGCUAGUGUAGCUCAUAUUCCUUUUAUUUUCUUUUUGAACAGAGAAAUAAGGUUAGGAUCGGCAAAAAGAAUCCAAGC
rnacentral:lncRNA from 1 species